CCUACGGGUGGCAGCAGUGAGGAAUAUUGGUCAAUGGACGAGAGUCUGAACCAGCCAAGUAGCGUGAAGGAUGACUGCCCUAUGGGUUGUAAACUUCUUUUAUAUGGGAAUAAAAUGUUCCACGUGUGGGAUUUUGUAUGUACCAUAUGAAUAAGGAUCGGCUAACUCCGUGCCAGCAGCCGCGGUAAUACGGAGGAUCCGAGCGUUAUCCGGAUUUAUUGGGUUUAAAGGGAGCGUAGGUGGAUUGUUAAGUCAGUUGUGAAAGUUUGCGGCUCAACCGUAAAAUUGCAGUUGAAACUGACAGUCUUGAGUACAGUAGAGGUGGGCGGAAUUCGUGGUGUAGCGGUGAAAUGCUUAGAUAUCACGAAGAACUCCGAUUGCGAAGGCAGUUCACUGGACUGCAACUGACACUGAGGCUCGAAAGUGUGGGUAUCAAACAGGAGUAGAUACCCUUGUAGUC
rnacentral:rRNA from 1 species